rnacentral:rRNA from 1 species
AGCAACGACCAUACAACGUUGAAUACACCAGUUUUCGUUUGAACACUUAAGUUAAGCAAUUUCGGGUUUUUAGAUGGGUGACCGCUUAGGAACACUACGUACCGUUGACA